AUUGAACGCUGGCGGCAGGCCUAACACAUGCAAGUCGAGCGGAUGACGGGAGCUUGCUCCCGGAUUCAGCGGCGGACGGGUGAGUAAUGCCUAGGAAUCUGCCUGGUAGUGGGGGACAACGUUUCGAAAGGAACGCUAAUACCGCAUACGUCCUACGGGAGAAAGCAGGGGACCUUCGGGCCUUGCGCUAUCAGAUGAGCCUAGGUCGUAUUAGCUAGUUGGUGAGGUAAUGGCUCACCAAGGCGACGAGCCGUAACUGGUCUGAGAGGAUGAUCAGUCACGCUGGAACUGAGACAAGGUCCAGACUCCUACGGGAGGCAGCAGUGGGGAAUAUUGGACAAUGGGCGAAAGCCUGAUCCAGCCAUGCCGCGUGUGUGAAGAAGGUCUUCGGAUUGUAAAGCACUUUAAGUUGGGAGGAAGGGCAGUAAGCGAAUACCUUGCUGUUUUGACGUUACCGACAGAAUAAGCACCGGCUAACUCUGUGCCAGCCGCCGCAGUAACAC
rnacentral:rRNA from 1 species